UGGUGCUCUGUGCAGACAGACAGGUCACAGUGACUGUCACAGCAGCGGCCAAGCUACAGGCGGCCAGGAAGAAAUCUCUGCGGGAGAACACAGGGUACCUCUUACCUCUUCUCAAGGCAUUCUGGGCGUCCUGCGUCAUGGCAUCAGCUUCAUCCAAGAUCACCAGUUUAAAGCCUUUCCUAAGAAGACAAACGGCACCGUCUAAAGAAUUCUUCCAUGUUCAACCUCCAUCUUCAGCAAAACUCAGGAUUGGCCCGCGAACGAUAUCUAUUCCUCGGUCAUCUGAAGCAUUGAGCUGGAAGAGAGAAGCCAGA